rnacentral:tRNA from 1 species
AAAAAUUUAAGUUAAAAAAACUAUUGACCUUCAAAGUCAAAAAUAGAAACUUUUCUAAUUUUUA